ensembl:lncRNA
AAAUUUUCAAGCGCCUUACAGGAUUAUAUCUACAUUUUUACUCACUGACCUCACCGUAUUCACUAUUUUCUAUUUAAUUUAGCUACUUUUGGAUAAUUUCGAGCUUAUUAGGCCUUUUGGUUUUAUUCAAGCCAUUUUGGUAGGGUUUGUAUUUAAUGUUUUGGCUGAACAAUAGUAUCUAUAUUGGGUAUUUAUAAUUCUUUUUGUAAACGUGUGUUUGUGAAGUAUAUGAGGGGUUUUCAAAGGAGACCACCAUGAAGUAUAUUCACAAUAAUGUAGUGCUUUUAUUAAAAAAACAAACAAAAAAAACAAAAACAAAUAUAAAACAAAAAGUAAAAACCAACAGCAUUUUUCAUGACUUAAGAAUCAUAAUUACAAACUUUAAACGAGUGGAAGAAGUUUUUUUUCUUUUUUUUUUGACAAACUGUACACAUCACAAAAUGUCCGCCAGUCUGCCAUUUACAAUGCUUGCAUCUUAUUUUGUGAUUGUCUAAAAAUAACUAAACAAAUCGCACAAAAAACACACAAAUACAAGUACAAGCAUCAUACAAUGACUGCUAUCACAAAACGGAACCAUUUUCCUAUUUGAAAGAAAAAAACAAAGCAAAAAAACCCAAAAUAACAUAAUAUUGGGCCGACAGCUUUUUUUAAAUUUAUUUUUUAAAACUUUUUCUUUCUGUCACCGUUUAAAAAUAUCUUAACAUUUUUAUGUUGGUUUGUUUUUUUAGUGUUCAACACUUUGCAGCAAAAAACAAGGAGCGCAGUUCUCCUUCAAAAGUAAUAUUAACAAUGUUCAGCGGCAAAGAGGUCGCUGGCAAGUCACUGUCAUGUCCCAAUGCCUUCUGUGUCCGUUUGACAUUCUUCUCGCUCAUGCAGUACAUAGGUGAAUUUCAUUUAUAGGCAACGAAACUUCAGCUUACUUUUUUAAUGUCGUCAGGACAGUUGGUGGUGAGAUUUCUUGGACAUUAAAAAGAAAAAACAAUACAAAAACAAAAAUCUUUUUCCUCCGAGCUUAAGUGUCUUCAGUAUAGUCAUACAAACGGAAGAAAUUAUAAUAUUAUUAUUAUAAUAAUCAUAAUACAUUUAGGGCUGAGUCCUGUACAGUACAAUAAUAAACAAAAUCCAUUUUCAAGAUAUUGCUUUUGGAGACACUCCUCAAUGUAAAGUGUGUAUAUUUACAUAACUUGGCACUGUACAACUUCCUGAUCCCUCUCCUCUCUCUGUCAGUGUCUCAUUCUCGUCACAUCUCUGUCAGUUUAACGCACCGGGACAUUGCAGGCUGUCCCUUUUAAACAGAGGCAUUUGGGGGAAGAAAACAAAAAAGGAAUCUCAUCAAAUAUCACAAUUUCUUUCGAAAACAUUCUCCAUGGCAACCAGGAAACAUAGUUUAAAGACAAAAAAAAAAAAAAAAGAACCCUCCCCAGUUCCCAAUAUACAGUAUACACCUCCCCCCAGUCUCACAGAAUAUAAGAAAAUAUGACCAUCACGAUACAUUUCAUGUUAAGUAUUGUUUUUUCCAUAGUUUUCUUAAAACUGUUAAUUGCCAUCGAGCCCUUGAUUUUUUUUUUGAUUUUUUUAAAAAGGUAUAUUUUCAUGAAAUUCUGGCAGAGUGCACACACAAAAUAAAACGUGUAUCCACGCGCACACACUCGCACACGCAAGGCAGUCGGAGAGCACGGCUGUGUAAGGCGUUACAGUUGGAGCCAGUGUUCCCCCCUCUUCCCACCCCACCCCUGACCCACCCUCCCCGCCUGAUUUAGUUAAGCUGGUGAAUUAUGUUUUACUUCACAAAAAAAAAAAAAAAAAAAAAAAGAGGGGCAAAGCGGACUGCCUAACGAGACGAUUAAAAAAAAAAAGAAAAAAAAAAAAAAAAAGAACAAGACACUUUUACUGACAAAGGCGCGCACGCUCCAUCUUCCCAAACCCCCUCCCUUUACUCUAAUAAAACAAACACGCCACAGGCCUCUUCUGUUCCUAAAUGAGUUACUACAGUAUAACAGGAAAAAGAUAAUAGACUUGCUUCUUUUUUUUUCUUCCAGACUGCAUCAUCCAAUACUGUGAGAGUGUUAGUGUGUUUUCAUUAUAGAUACAUUACAGAGAGCUUCACAAUAUCCAUGGUACCAAAAGUGCAGUUCACCACCCUUGUUCUCUCUUUCUCAUGAGCAGCAUCUGAGCACACCGCUCAACUUUACAUUUCUCCUAUGCCAUUCCUACCCCACCCCACAGCCCCUGGGCAGUUCUUCUCUCAUCCCUUACAUUUGUUUCAUUGCAGCUAGGUUCCACUAGGGGGAACAAUUCUCCAGCACUCAUAUCCCCCCCACAGACUGAAUCAUUAAUCCAUCCCUCCCCCUCUAUCCAUCCUUAUUCAGUACCACUUAUUUCAUUACAGAUGCUUGCUAGUGGAAUUCAUCUACCCAUGUUUUCAAUGUUCAAUGCAUUUAAAUGCAUGGGUUACAACUCCUAUUUUCGUUUUCUUUUUCUUUUCUUUUUCUUUUUUUAAAAAGAAAGUUUUUGCAUCAUACUACUUAAAUAAGCAAGAAGCCUGGGUCAGCUCUCUCUUUGUGCUCCUUGAGAGCUCCUGAAGUCAGUGCUUCCAAACACCCUCCACCCCUCUCAGAGCUGAGACGACAGUCUUGGAAGAGGUAAACUGGAAGAGGCCCCCAGGGAUGCAUUGUGGUCCUUAAUGGCUGGAAAACCAACAAUGCUCAUUUCCCUUCUUGCUGUCUCUCCAUUUUCUGCCCCUUGCUCAUGACAGUGAAAGGCAGUGUGCUUGACAGGCACGUAGAAACAUUAUUUUCUGCCUACAAAAUCGCUGAAUCCGAGCGCCCGCCGCCGCAGGCGCCGCCCUGCGCCUUCCUCAAGGAGAUAAGUGACAUCAAUGGCUGGAGAAAGUUGGAAUGAGAGAGAAAAUUAGCAGCUUGGACACAAAUAGAUGACACAGGGCGAUCACAUUAAAGAUAAAAAAAUAAUUUAAAAAAAUCAGCCGCAUGGAGGCAAGUUACUUUAAAGCAAAAAUGCUUCAAGUAUAAUCUGUUAAACAGUUAAUAAGCAAUAAAAAUUAAGUCUGAUGUUGUUGUACACAUAAAAUAAUAAUUCCCAGGGUCGCUUAAGGCAGCUCAUUCAUUUAACACUGGUAAUGGAUUACUAGUCUGUAUCCACCAAAUAUGGCUUUGGUACCUUGGCUUAGACAUCGAUGGGAUAGAUACUGGCUUUAACAUGUUAAUCAUUUGUUUGUAGUAAGGUAAUGUUCUUAACUCAGGUAAGACCUCAUACCACAGUAUCAGUAUUUAUUGUAUUUAGAGUUCUAUUUAUUGUGGUGCUUAGUUAAUCUGUUUCUAUUUCAGCUCCUUCUUUUGUGGAGUUUUUAAACAUACUGAGGUUUUUCUUUGGUCAUAUUUCAUUUAUUCCCAUUGAGCUUUUCUUACUUUUUUUUUGGGGGGGGGGGGGGGGGGGGGCAGUAAAAAAUGGCCUUGGGGUGGAUCAAACGCUGGCCUCUGCAUUAGCCUUGCAGCAUAUGGAUCACUUGCUAAACCCAGUAGGCUAAACUAGCAACCACUACAGGGUGUGUUUAAUGUUUUGGCUGGAAUUUCCCUUUUUUUUUGGAUAAAUAAUGUUUGUCUUAUCUUAUCAGAAACAAAUUGCAUCUACAAGCCAAAUAGUUGGGUUUCACAAGCAAUACAUAAAUUCUUGAGAAAAACUAAAAAAAUGUGCCUUUUCAUAGUUCAUGUACAGCCCACCUGCCUGAGCUUAGUCCAAGUGGGAGAGAGGACAAACACGGCAGAGCAGAAUGUGCAUUACUUCAAAUUUACUGUAAAACAACAAGAAACUGCGAGAGCACAGACAUUUGUGCUGAUAUGGCGGCAUAUCAUUAUAUUGUUAACUGCAAUUAGAUUACAAUGUUUCUUUGGUAAUGAUACAAAGUAUCAAGUAGUGUAAUUAGUGACUUUAUAAAAGAUGGACGUAGUCACUGUGACGUCAUCAAUCAGUUUGUUAAGUGAUGUUAUGAGGCCUCAAGCUGACUAUUUUCACCAUAUAUCCAUGUUGGUGUUUUAAAGUAUGAUGUAACGAGCCUGGGGUGGAUCUGAAUGUAAAACUGGAUGCUCACUGGCUAACAACUUGUGACUGACAAAUCAUUAGGAAAUGAGCAUAUCCUGGGCAAUUCCCCAUUGUGACUUAAAUAAAAGCUUCUUUCAGCUUCUACUUUAUUUGCAAGAGGUUGUCAUAGCAGACAGAUCUGAUAUAUGAUGUGUAAGGUUUUUUACGCCGCAACAACCCUCUGAUGGUCUUUAAGUGGGGAUCUUUCACGUUAGGCUAAGAUUAGUAAGUGAGAUGAAGUGUUAAAAGGGAACUCCGGUAUAUUGUAACUUAUUUUAACCCAUUAAUGUGGCCUCAAGUGUCGUGCCAACUUUGCAACUUGUCCUCUCUUGUAAAGACUGGAGGAAAUGUGAACAGCAUUUAUCUGGGCAACUAGAAUCACUAGUUUUGUCUUUGAGUCCGACCAACAGUAAACACAAAACUUGGCUGUAUUUCUAUAUCACGGGUUAUCAAAUGUAUUGUAGUGGGUAACGUGUAAUAAUCCAGCGCAUGAAAUGACGUUUUACUUACUUGCCAAAUGGGAAGCUGAGAGUUCAGUCCGGCCAGUCUUGGUCUUUUGUUGAUGAAACACCAUCUCGGGGAUGGCAAUGUUUUCAAAGCUUUCAAUUCAUGAAUUGUAAUUCCACACAUUGAGACAUUCAAAGGUAGGUUGCCUCUGCCACCAUCUUCAGAGUACUGUCUUUCCUUCUUUAUGUUUAAGCUCCUCAUCCAUCUGCUUACUCUGGGUAAAAUCAAUACUGACAAGCGAGCUGAUACAGCCUCUCGCCCUCAAAAUGGUCCAUGGGGUAAAUCCGCCAUUGCAUUUAACUGCCAACUCUCCUCAGAAGACAGUAUAAACACAGUGUAAGUCAGCUACACACGUGUGAUGAUGAGUAUGCCAGUGAUUUGGUCAGUUGGCAAGUAUCCCAGAAUGAAGAUUCCUAAUGCGGUUAGUACAAUGCCCGUUCCAGGCAACAUUCGGUCAGACUGAAAAAUGAUUAAAAUUAAUUGAUGUAAAAAAAAAAAAAUUAUCUUUUGUGGUAAACUGUAGGCAGUUCAUGCUUGUCGCACAAAUAAAUGCUGUUCAGAUUAAAAACUUUAAAAAAAAAGGUGAUGAUCGCAAAGUGAGCAUGACCCUUCAAGCCACUACAGCCAUAUUAAUGGUAAAUUUGCCAGGUUGAGGUAAAUGGGAAUUUUCCUUGAAGCGUUGGUCUAAAUUUUGAUAUUUUUAGGUGACAUAAAAUAGAACAUAAAUAUGAUCUCCUCUUCAUCCUAUGCUUCUUAUGGACAGAUUCUUGCCCCAACUUCAAGCUUAUUCUUUCAGAAAUAGUAGUAGUUUUAAAAAAAAUGAUCCAACACGUUCAAAUGACGUGUCACAGCAAAGUGACCUUAAACUUUAACCCUCAUUUAUCUGUUGACCUACCCCCCUCCUUUGUUCCCAGUCCCUCACCGUUCUUGCUGGGUGUUCUGUGCAGCAGAUCCAGCAGGAUCUUGUUCAGUCGUUCCCGCUGGGCCUCCCUCCUGCCCAGAGCUGGGUGGUGUAGUGGCGAUGAAGUCGAGGAUGAUGGAACUUCAAGCAACUCUCCAAUCCUCUCGGCUGAGCGUUCCUCCAGCCCCUUGCGCUCAUCGGCUUCCUGUCCAUCCUCCUCGUCCUCCUCUUCUCCUGUCUCCCUUUCCCGUUCUGGUCUUCUAGGCUUGGCUGAAAGAAGUGCGGAAUCUUCUGAAGCCAUGUCCAUGUCGUCUUCCACUCCUCUUCCAUCUUCUCCCUCAGGUGGGAAAUCUUCACCCCGGUCGCAGGAAGAGGCAUCGUCCUCACAGCCUCCAGCUUCUUUGGGUCGUUCGCUUUUCCAGGCUGAUCGGCCGCCGUUCCUCUUAUAGUUGUCAGGAACAUAAUGAGGCUGCAAGAAAGCCAAAAAUGAAAUUUAACAUAAAGCACGUACGUUUCAAGUAGAUAGGGUUUUAAAAUGUAGAGAUAAAAAAAAAAAAAUACAAAAAAAAAAAAAAAAAAAAAAAAACACUCAGGGAAAGUCCACCCUGACUAACAUCCAAGUUACCCUCCACGAGUACAAAAUAAGAAGUAAUUAAAACCUUGAGGCCAAAAGGUAAGUGCUGACAAGGAUAUCCCUUUUUGUAUUGUUUUUUUUUUUUUUAAAGAAAGAAAAAAAAAAGAAAAGAAAAGUUCUGGAUUCUGUUAACUUGGUCUCAUUUUUCAAC